rnacentral:rRNA from 1 species
AGUAGUUUGAGUCCUGGCUCGGAACACGCUGGCGGCAUGCCUAACACAUGCAAGUCAACGAGAGGCUUUCGGCUCUAGUGGCGCACGGGUGCGUAACGCUGGGAAUCUGCCCUUGGGUUCGGAAUAACAGUUGGAAACGACUGCUAAUACCGGAUGAUGUCGAUGAGACCAAAGAUUUAUCGCCCGAGGAUGAGCCCGCGUUGGAUUAGCUAGUUGUGGGUAAAGGCCUACCAAGGCGACGAUCCAUAGCUGGUCUGAGAGGAUGAUCAGCCACACUGGGACUGAGGCACGGCCCAGACUCCUACGGGAGGCAGCAGUGGGGAAUAUUGGACAAUGGGCGCAAGCCUGAUCCAGCAAUGCCGCGUGAGUGAUGAAGGCCUUAGGGUUGUAAAGCUCUUUACCCGGGAAGAUAAUGACUGUACCGGGAGAAUAAGCCCCGGCUAACUCCGUG